CUAUAUAAAAAUUGAAAUUUUCAAUACGUUGGCUUUUUGGCUGGUCUCAUACCGUUUAGUACUGGAUAUGAGAUCAUUCAAGAAGCCCAAAAAAGAGUUCAUUUCAUUCGAAACAUGCUAU
rnacentral:precursor_RNA from 14 species